UGGGGAAUAUUGCACAAUGGGCGCAAGCCUGAUGCAGCCAUGCCGCGUGUAUUAAGAAGGCCUUCGGGUUGUAAAGUACUUUCAGCGGGGAGGAAGGCGAUAAGGUUAAUAACCUUGUCGAUUGACGUUACCCGCAGAAGAAGCACCGGCUAACUCCGUGCCAGCAGCCGCGGUAAUACGGAGGGUGCAAGCGUUAAUCGGAAUUACUGGGCGUAAAGCGCACGCAGGCGGUCUGUCAAGUCGGAUGUGAAAUCCCCGGGCUCAACCUGGGAACUGCAUUCGAAACUGGCAGGCUAGAGUCUUGUAGAGGGGGGUAGAAUUCCAGGUGUAGCGGUGAAAUGCGUAGAGAUCUGGAGGAAUACCGGUGGCGAAGGCGGCCCCCUGGACAAAGACUGACGCUCAGGUGCGAAAGCGUGGGGAGCAAACA
rnacentral:rRNA from 1 species